rnacentral:lncRNA from 1 species
CUUCGAUUUUUGAUCGUCAAAAAAACAUGGCCGCCGUUACUUAAAAUAGAACAUAGGGGUCAAAUGCAGUUUUUGGCUUAUAUCUCAAAAAUGAAAGCAUUUAGAGCAAAUCUGACAUGGGGUAAAAAUGUUCAUUAGGUCAAGAUGUAUCAGCCCUGAAAUUUUCAGAUGAAUCAAACAAACCAUUGUUGGGUUGCUGCCACUUAAUUGGUAAUUUUAAGGAAAUUUUGCAGUUUUUGGUCAUUAUCUUGAAUAUUAUUAUAGAUAAAG